AGCAUGUGACUGUGGUCCCAGCAAGUAGGACAGCCGAGAUGGGAGGAUCGCUUGAGCCCAGGAGGUUGAGGGUACAGUGAGCCAUGUUUGCACCACUGCACUCCAGCCUGGACAAGCGAAUUCCCUGUCUCCUCUGGAAGAAAAGCAGGGGCUCUCCCCUCACGGAAAUGUGGCAUUCAGCAAAGCUGGUCGGAGCCUGCAUGGAGACACUGAGGCCCCUGUCAACUGUAGCUCCUGUCCUGGGCCCUCGACAGCAUCACCCUCGAGGCCGGUGCUUCAUCUCCUCCAGCUCCUUUUAAGAAUGAACUUGAUGAAAACACAGACUUUACCUACAAGCCCGGCAGGAGCUCAUGGUCCACACUCACCCGCUUUGGGGCUGACAGGCACUUUCCCAGGGGAGCCUGGGGCCUCCCCUCGACUCUCACCAGGGCCUUCGACCCCUCCAGGAGCCCCCACUCUACCUCUAGCUUCCCCAGGGGCUCCUCAGCCACCUCCUGUGACUCCAGAGCGCUCGUUCUCAGCCUCUGGGGCCCGGAUAGUGUCCAGGUGGCCUCCUCAGACUGCCACCCUC
rnacentral:lncRNA from 1 species